rnacentral:misc_RNA from 1 species
GCAAACUUGGUCAUUUAGAGGAAGUAAAAGUCGUAACAAGGUCUCCGUAGGUGAACCUGCGGAGGGAUCAUUACUGAGUUUUCAACUCUCCAAACCAUGUGAACUUACCACUGUUGCCUCGGUGGUUUGGUCUUCGGACUGACCACCGGCGGACCACUAAACUCUUGUUAAUUUAUGGCAUUCUGAAUCAUAACUAAGAAAUAAGUUAAAACUUUCAACAACGGAUCUCUUGGUUCUGGCAUCGAUGAAGAACGCAGC